CCUACGGGUGGCAGCAGUGAGGAAUAUUGGUCAAUGGGCGAGAGCCUGAACCAGCCAAGUCGCGUGAGGGAGUACUGCCCUAUGGGUUGUAAACCUCUUUUGUCGGGGAGCAAAAGCCGGACGUUUCCGGCUGUGAGAGUACCCGAAGAAAAAGCAUCGGCUAACUCCGUUCCAGCAGCCGCGGUAAUACGGGGGAUGCGAUGGUUAACCGGAUUUUUUGGGUUUAAAGGGUGCGCAGGCGGAUUUUUAAGGCCACGGUUAAAUCGUGGGGGUAAACCCCAUCCAGCCGGUGAAACUGGGGAUCUAGAGUGUGCGAGAGGUAUGCGGAAUGCGUGGUGUAGCGGUGAAAUGCAUAGAUAUCACGCAGAACCCCGAUUGCGAAGGCAGCAUACCGGUGCACAACUGACGCUCAGGCACGAAAGCGUGGGUAUCGAACAGGAUUAGAUACCCCUGUAGUC
rnacentral:rRNA from 1 species